rnacentral:rRNA from 1 species
UGCAGAGCAAGCUUGCUUGCUUUGCUGACGAGUGGCGGACGGGUGAGUAAUGUCUGGGAAACUGCCUGAUGGAGGGGGAUAACUACUGGAAACGGUAGCUAAUACCGCAUAACGUCGCAAGACCAAAGAGGGGGACCUUCGGGCCUCUUGCCAUCGGAUGUGCCCAGAUGGGAUUAGCUAGUAGGUGGGGUAACGGCUCACCUAGGCGACGAUCCCUAGCUGGUCUGAGAGGAUGACCAGCCACACUGGAACUGAGACACGGUCCAGACUCCUACGGGAGGGAGCAGUGGGGAA